UGGCAAGUAGCACAGCGGUAGUUGCUCCCGGCUGUUAACCGGGUGGUCGCAGGUUCGAAUCCUGCCUUGCCAGCCA
rnacentral:tRNA from 1 species